rnacentral:rRNA from 1 species
AGGACGAACGCUGGCGGCGUGCUUAACACAUGCAAGUCGAGCGGAAAGGCCCUUCGGGGUACUCGAGCGGCGAACGGGUGAGUAACACGUGAGUAAUCUGCCCCUAGCUCUGGGAUAGCUCCGGGAAACCGGGAUUAAUACCAGAUACAACCACUUUUAGACAUCUCUUGUGGUGGAAAGAAUUUCGGCUAGGGAUGAACUCGCGGCCUAUCAGCUUGUUGGUGAGGUAACGGCUCACCAAGGCGACGACGGGUA